rnacentral:rRNA from 1 species
CUACGGGACGCUGCAGUGAGGAAUAUUGCGCAAUGGGGGAAACCCUGACGCAGCGACGCCGCGUGGAUGAUGAAGGCCUUAGGGUCGUAAAAUCCUGUCAGGUGGGAAGAAGUGGAUAUAGAUUAAUACUCUAUUUCUUUGACGGUACCACCAAAGGAAGCACCGGCUAACUCCGUGCCAGCAGCCGCGGUAAUACGGAGGGUGCAAACGUUGUUCGGAAUUACUGGGCGUAAAGCGGCGCGUAGGCGGUUUGUUAAGUCAGAUGUGAAAGUCCAUGGCUCAACUAUGGAAGUGCAUUUUGACAUGGCAGACUUGAGUACUGGAGGGGGUGAUGGAAUUCCCGGUGUAGAGGUGAAAUUCGUAGAUAUCGGGAGGAAUACCGGUGGCGAAGGCGAUCACCUGGGCAGAUACUGACGCUGAGGUGCGAAAGCGUGGGGAGCAAACAGGAUUAGAUACCCUCGUAGUC